CAAGUAAUUAACCAAAAAUUAUGGGAUAGCUUAUAUAUGCAUUAAACCCUUUUUAUACAUCAACCUUAUUGGUUUGAAAAUCCAAAGGUUACAGGGGUGUAAUCAAAAUCUCUUAAAGCCUUUUGUGAUUCAAAAUUUGAAUUCAAACAUGCAAUUGUGGCAUGAUGCUCAUGGAUGCAAUGCACAUGUAAAAGUUUGAAAUUUUGGGAUGUUACAAAAUUUUACAGAACCACAGGUUUUGAGGCAGCUUCUCACGGAGCACUGGUAGAUGCUAAUCUGUCCAUAGAACCACAACUUUUGUGUCCAAUUGUCUCAGUUCACCCAAAACAAGGGUUUAAGCUCGUUUGACACUAUUUCUUACGGGUGGGCCCACACAUCAGGCGUCACAUCUUUUUCAUGAGACCCCUCGUUUUUUUCUUUUUUUUUUCUUGUUGCUCUUCUUCUUCUACUGCCAUGGAAAUUGAUCCGAACGCUGCUGCCUUGCCGCCACGCCGCACCGCUGCCUCGCCGGCCUGCGGCCCGCCGCGCGCCCGCCCCCACCGCCGCCGCCCCGCCGG
rnacentral:lncRNA from 1 species